rnacentral:rRNA from 1 species
UACGUAGGGGGCAAGCGUUGUCCGGAAUCAUUGGGCGUAAAGAGCGCGUAGGCGGCCCUGUAAGUCCGCUGUGAAAGUCAAGGGCUCAACCCUUGAAUGCCGGUGGAUACUGCAGGGCUAGAGUCCGGAAGAGGCGAGUGGAAUUCCUGGUGUAGCGGUGAAAUGCGCAGAUAUCGGGAGGAACACCAAUGGCGAAGGCAGCUCGCUGGGACGUUACUGACGCUGAGACGCGAAAGCGUGGGGAGCAAACAGG